rnacentral:tRNA from 1 species
GGGCUUAUAGUCAAACUAUUGACAUCUAACUUGCACUUAGAAAGUGUCCACUUUUAGGACUAAGCCCA